rnacentral:rRNA from 1 species
AUUGAACGCUGGCGGCAGGCCUAACACAUGCAAGUCGAGCGGAUGAAGGGAGCUUGCUCCUGGAUUCAGCGGCGGACGGGUGAGUAAUGCCUAGGAAUCUGCCUGGUAGUGGGGGAUAACGUCCGGAAACGGGCGCUAAUACCGCAUACGUCCUGAGGGAGAAAGUGGGGGAUCUUCGGACCUCACGCUAUCAGAUGAGCCUAGGUCGGAUUAGCUAGUUGGUGGGGUGAAGGCCUACCAAGGCGACGAUCCGUAACUGGUCUGAGAGGAUGAUCAGUCACACUGAAACUGAGACACGGUCCAGACUCCUACGGGAGGCAGCAGUGGGGAAUAUUGGACAAAGGGCGAAAGCCUGAUCCAGCCAUGCCGCGUGUGUGAAGAAGGUCUUCGGAUUGUAAAGCACUUUAAGUUGGGAGGAAGGGCAGUAAGUUAAUACCUUGCUGUUUUGACGUUACCAACAGAAUAAGCACCGGCUAACUUCAUG